rnacentral:rRNA from 1 species
GUGCCAGCAGCCGCGGUAAUACGUAGGUGGCAAGCGUUAUCCGGAAUUAUUGGGCGUAAAGCGCGCGUAGGCGGUUUUUUAAGUCUGAUGUGAAAGCCCACGGCUCAACCGUGGAGGGUCAUUGGAAACUGGAAAACUUGAGUGCAGAAGAGGAAAGUGGAAUUCCAUGUGUAGCGGUGAAAUGCGCAGAGAUAUGGAGGAACACCAGUGGCGAAGGCGACUUUCUCGGUCUGUAACUGACGCUGAUGUGCGAAAGCGUGGGGAUCAAACAGGAUUAGAU